GGGUGUGUAGCUCAGUGGCAGAGCACAGUCCUGAUAAGACUGGGGUCGGAGGUUCGAUCCCUCCCACACCCA
rnacentral:tRNA from 1 species